ensembl:lncRNA
AGGCGUGGUCGCCGAGUUGCAUUUACUUACAGCAACUGGGAUGCAUUCAAGGGCCCCUUUCCCCAGCCCCGGGCCAGAUGGUUCUUUCUGAGGCAUUGGCCUGACCCUGAUAAGGGAGAGUGUGCAUUCACGCCACAUUAUUAUAAAACAAAUCCAACACCUACUGUAAAAUAUAGUUGUAGAUGGUUUGAUAUUAUGGGGCCUCCAUCCCCAGACAUUGAGUUUGACAGCCUUGAGGAGUUUGUCCUGCAGCCAGCCCCACAGGGGGCGACUGUCAAAUGCAAGAUGACGCGGGACAAGAGGGGAAUGGACAAAGGCCUGUACCCUACAUAUUAUCUCCAUCUCGACAAUGAGAAAAAGGUGUUUUUACUGGCUGGGAGAAAACGAAAGAAAAGCACAACAUCCAAUUAUCUCAUCUCCAUAGACCCCACAGACUUAUCUAGGGGUGGAGAAAAUUUCAUUGGAAAGUUGAGGUCCAACAUGAUGGGCACCAAGUUCACAGUGUUUGACAAUGCUUUGCAUCCAGACCGAGCCCUGCCAGACAUGUCCAAUGCUCGCCAAGAACUAGCAGCCAUUAUAUACGAAACAAAUGUAUUGGGAAUGAAGGGUCCCCGACGGUUGACCGUCAUCAUCCCAGGGAUGAACAAGGACAGUGAACGAGUGCCCAUCCGACCUCGCAGUGACAACGAUGGUUUACUAAUGAAGUUCCAGAACAGAAAGUUGGAUAAUCUGAUCGAACUCCACAACAAAACACCCACUUGGAAUGAGGACACGGCGUCCCAUGUGCUGAAUUUCAAUGGCAGGGUCACACAGGCCUCCAUCAAAAACUUUCAGAUCAUCCACAGCAAAGAUGAGGACUAUAUUGUGAUGCAGUUUGGAAGAGUAGCGGACGACGCAUUCACUCUGGACUACAGCUACCCAAUGUGUGCAGUGCAAGCCUUUGCUAUCGCUCUAUCCAGUUUUGAUGGCAAAAUAACCUGCGAAUAAAACAAAACAAUAGGCCCUGGUGCCUCCUAGAGCUGCUGCAACUCUUCGUUGGCUACUGCAGAUGCACAGUACAGGAAAGAAGAAUUUCCCUGAUGGUUUUUCUACAACUCAAUAUCAACGCAAAGUGCAUUGAAGGAUGGAAGUCCUAGGCAAAAUGGAGGACUGAGGGCAUUUGAUAUCCCAUGGACUAUCUCAGGGAUUGUGUCUGAUGACUGAUGAUUAUGAGCAAUUCUGGGAUUAAGAUUAUUUUUUCUAUUGGAGCUCCUUGAGCUAAACCCCAGACAUAAAGAGAGGAUGAUACUUUAUAGCUGAGCACUGGAAAUAUGGUGUGUUUUGGAAUUUGCAUUAUUGCUUGAGGAUGCAGACGGAUGAAAUCUGAAGUUAUAGUUCAUCUUUUAAAUAAAUCAAUGAUUUUGUAGUACA